GAUGAACGCUGGCGGCGUGCCUAAUACAUGCAAGUCGAGCGAACAGACGAGGAGCUUGCUCCUCUGACGUUAGCGGCGGACGGGUGAGUAACACGUGGAUAACCUACCUAUAAGACUGGGAUAACUUCGGGAAACCGGAGCUAAUACCGGAUAAUAUAUUGAACCGCAUGGUUCAAUAGUGAAAGACGGUUUUGCUGUCACUUAUAGAUGGAUCCGCGCCGCAUUAGCUAGUUGGGAAGGUAACGGGUUACCAAGGCGACGAUGCGUAGCCGACCUGAGAGGGUGAUCGGCCAGACUGGAACUGAGACACGGUCCAGACUCCGACGGGAGGCAGCAGCAGGGAAUCUUCCGGAAGGGGCGAAAGCCUGACGGAGCAACGCCGCGUGAGUGAUGAAGGUCUUCGGAUCGUAAAACUCUGUUAUUAGGGAAGAACAAAUGUGUAAGUAACUAUGCACGUCUUGACGGUACCUAAUCAGAAAGCCACGGCUAACUACGUG
rnacentral:rRNA from 1 species